UGUACUGCUCUUCCUGUCAGUGGGGGUUGCUGCCGGGGUCUUCUCUUUUUAUCCUCCCUGAUUGGACGAGGCACGCUGCUUCCUAGCGAUGGGCUCCAGUGGUUGGCUAUAUGCAGGCGUAGUGUGGACCUACAGGGAGCGUCCAGGUCUCCAGUCUCCAUCAGCCACUCCAGGACCAGGAGUUGGUGGUGAAGGUUUUGGGGAAGUCCUUCUGGCUGUGGAAGGCACAGUAACACUGAAGGGAGCCCCAGGAGUUCCACAUGUCCCUACGCUUCAGCUGGGUCAGGUCCUUCAGUAAUAUAGACAUUUGGAGCUAUAGAAAUGCUGUGUUAAUUGAGCCGCCUAUUCAAGAAUUCCAGGUGUUUGUACACAUUUCAGGUGAGUCUCAUGGUUUUGGUGUUAGAUCUAUACUGGUAUGCAUAUUUGUCAAAACACUCAAUGAAGUACAAAAUGUUCCCGUGUACCUACCCUAACUGAUAUUUUCUUUAGCCUAUCAGUACAAAAAAUAUGUAGGUAUAGGCAAAGUUGUACAAGUAAUACAAAUAUAGAGAAGUGACUAUAAAAUCAAAAAUGUUGAAUGUGGACUACAAAAUUCCUGUAUACUUUUCAGUUUGGAAGAAAAUAUUUCUGAAGAAAGAUCUUCUUUAUCCUCCUAAACGCUCUAUUCUGGGUGUCUGGCUUGGCCCUGGUCAUGGUGGGGGCUAUGUCUCAGCCCACCUACACAGAAAUGGAGUCUUUCACCCACAUAUCCCAGGGCAUGUCUCACACCUCCAUCCUCCUCAUAGUGGCGGAGAGAAGGAUCACACUGAAAGUCAACGAGGUGAUCGUACAGCACAGCCCCAGGGAUAAGGUUGCCAUCGUUGACCUACAGCAUGCAUUCCAUUGUUGUGGUGCAGAGAACUGCACUGACUGGCUCCUGCAGAGCUCUCAUGGGAAUAUUAGUUUUGUGCCACACUCCUGUUGCCAUGUGGAUUAUGUGGCCUGUGUGAAAGUCGUCACCACAGACAAUAUCUACCAGAGGGGCUUUGUGCAGGUGAUCAAAGAGUCCCUGAAGAGGAACCUGGUGUGGCUGGGUGCCGCCUGCAUUGUACUGGGUCUCAUAGAGGGCUCAGAUGGAAGUGAUUACGCUGCAGAGGGAGAGAUAAAUUACAGAGAGAACCUACAGAGCUCCAGCCCUUCUCCUUUAUCCACUCACUCAUUCACUCACUUACACAUACAGGCACGCAAUCACAUGCACAGGAGCACAUGCCCUGCCGCCAGUCCCACCACCUUGCUUCUGGUGGUACAUUUCCACUCCUGGCUGUGUCAGGACAAUGCGCCAGUGUGCUCCCCUCCCUCCCCUCUCGUGGGCCGAGUGAGUGCGCGAGGCAUGAGGGCCAGGGUUGUAAAUUCCUCUGAAAGAGCAGUUAAGAAGGCUACCAUUAAAACGGGGAUCGACGCUCGCCAGAAAGGAGCCGAAGAAAUGAGUCAUCACCUGGAGCCUGAAGGGUUCCAGAGCCUGCAGAACCACAGAGGAGAGGAACUGUAGAAAUAGAAUGGAUAGAACAUACGGUAUCUCUCAUUUUAGAUGUAUACAACUUAGGUCAACUAAGUUGAGAUGCCAAGGAAGCAUUGUGAUUAGAUGACAUGAGCGUUAUAAUUGUGAUAUUUAACUACAAUGUCACAUUUCUUUGUUUUCUAAUUUAAUUAUUUGGACAUAUUCAAAAAAAUAUAUGUCUUGUCUUGCUCCAUUUCAUAUGUUUUGGAACCCUAAGGCUAGUGCCGCUAGUUUCCUAUAUUGUAGAGUGUAGGUUUAGGCUUAGGGUUCUAACUAGCCACGAAAUCUUAACAUCAGUCGUGGAGGUCUAUUCUAGACCGUGAACCCCGCCCUCUCUCAGCUUCAGGUCUGUAGGUCAGUUGAGUUGCCAUAGCAGCUCUCUGUGCUGUACCACACAGCUACUAUACAGACKGGGGCUGAUUCAGAAGGCCAGGCAGCGAGCUCUAACCAGUGAACACAGCUACGUCAGACAGGGGGCUUCCUGUGCACUGAGGUGGGACAGUAAGUGCUUUCACCCCAAUCCUUCAACCUAACUGACCACCGGUGUUUGUGUUUGUCUUAGCAAGGGCUCUGUGCCACGGGAGUCAGGACAACAAUAGCUGGAACCUACUCAAACAGAACUGGCUGGGUCGUAUACAGGUUGGAUUAGAGUUGUAAUCGACUGUUUCAUGUACUGCCUGGAGCACAACAGUUGCUGGGUUCUUAUUAUAGGAGAUCACUCACAGUCAGUUGCACUAACACAAUAGAAGAUGACGAGAAGAUUCCCCCCAGUGCUCUGUUUGUAUUCUCAUCCACCAGAUUGUUAACUUACUCGCGCCGUGAGCCCGAGACAGUGGCAUGGUUUGUAACACACAGUGUGGU
ensembl:lncRNA